AUCACCACAGGCCAUGCAAGGAAGCUAUGCCAGUCACCUUUUUGAAUUGCCAGGCAUUCGUGAGGCCGUUUGUGGGGAAGUCUCCAGAAGAGGAAUCUUUCUGUUGAGGGAGCAUGCACACCACACCGGGAAUGGAGUAACAACUGUAGUUCCAGAGACUUUUGAGGCUGAAAAAAGGAGACUUCAUCACCCACGGAGAAACUCUUUCUGGCAUUCUUGGAAAGAAGACUUCAUCACAGACAUAGAGUCUUUUUGGGCAUUUUUUGGAGGAGGGUUCAUCAGCGACAUAGGGAGUCACUUUUUGGGUGUUUUAUGGAGGAGCGCAAAUUCUAAUUGAAAAAGGCAAGUUCAUAACUGCCGGAGUAGUUCACCACUGUUGAAAAUUGCUGGUUCGUCUAUGGAGUUCAUCAUUGCUGGAGUAGUUCACCACCGUUGAAGCUCGCUAGUUCGUUUAUAAAGAGUCAUCACCACCAUUAGAGUUCAUUGUCAUCGGAGCACAAUAUUCAUCACGGCCAUUGCAGUCCACCGUCAGUGAGAAAGGAUAUCAGACACCCAUUUUUGGAGCUUCAGGAUCUUCAUAUUCGAGGAUGAAAUCGCCAUUUUCCUUUGGAUAUCCAUUUUUCUGAGGGAACAAGAGAUCACACAUGCCUCAUUAUUCUUUUCUGGUUUCCGCGAACAUCACAGGAGAUUUUUCUACCAUUUCAAAUCAGCACUCACCAUUCUUCACCCUCAUCUUGUCAAGAGAUCACCAUUCUUAUUAUCCUUUUUUCUACAGUCUUUUUAACUUUUCUUUUUUCCGUUUGGUUGCCUAGAAAAUCCAGAUUUUCCUACCCUUCAGUUUCUAGGAAAUCACAAACUUGUAAGUACAUUCUCGCCUUUCAAAUGGGUGUUUCCAAGAUUCCUGCUCCCUUUUUUUUCUUUUUCUUUUUCUUUUCCUUCCUUUGAUUUUUCAGCAACCAAAUAGAUCAUAAAUGGAAACUGUUCCACAACUAGGAUUGUUCACCCAGUAGGUCAUUAACGGAAACUGUUUAGUUAAGAGGAAGGAUUUUUGUCACGAUUUCCCUGGAACCCCAAUUUCUAUUUGGUUGCCUAGAAAAAACAAGGAAAGACAGAAAUUGACUACCUGAACUUUGGAUGUUGCUUUUGCUUCGUAGGGUAUUGGAUCAUCAGAAGAUUCUAAAAAAGAAAAAGUAUAAAACCAAAUAUUGGCUGUCAAGGUACAUAUCAACUCUUAUUCUUAUCUAACUCCUUUUCUUUUGCUCUGUUUUGAAUCGUGAUCAAACUUUUCGUCUCCAUAAAUUUAGGGAAAAUUGAAAGCAACUUCAAGUUGAGUUGUAGGAGAUCAAAAAAAUCUGAAGAGUGGUACAUUUUACAUUGUUUCUAUAAUGAGAAAUUUUAUAUUCUCAUAUAUUAAUUGGAUGCUUUGUUUUUGAAACAUUAGGCUUAAGUUUCGAGGUUUAUUAUGAGAAUGAGAGCGUUAACGUUGGUUCCCGUGAUUCUGUUGGUACUAGUAGCACGAGGAAAUCUAUGCAGUUCAACAAAGGGACUGUUCCGAGCAAUUCAAGCGUGUCAAAAGUUAUUUCAAUUGCUCAUCUUCUUCAGCAUUUGUUGAUUGUGGUGGUUGUUUGGGUAUAAUGGGAACAAAUAUAAGUCAAGGUGCUAGUGUUUGUAAUACUUCAAGGAGAGGUACUUUGCUAUUUUUCAGAAAUUUUAUUUUCAUUUUUUUUUCUGAUUAAAUGGUGCAUUAUAUGCUCCUUAUUCUAGAGAACAGCAAGUGCAAAAAAAUUGAAGGUCUCUUCUAAUAACCAAAUGACCAAGGUUAGGGCCGUGAAUCUGUUAAUAAUGCUCGAAGGUAUUCUUCAUUAUUUUUCUCAUAUUUAUAGAAUUUUAGUUUAGUACUGGAAUCUUUUAAUGAUGUUAACCGAAUACGGAACCUACUUUGUGGUUUUUCUUAUACCUACAAAAAUGCUAAUCAAUGAGUUUUUUCUGGGCAACCAAACAGAAAUGAGGGUUCCGGGGAAAUCGUGACAAAAAUUCUUCCUCUUAACUAAAUAGUUUUUGUUAAUGACCUACUGGGUUAGCGAUCUUAGUUGAGGAACUCCAAUAAACCUAAAUCAGCCCAUCCAUUCAAAUGCACAAGAACUCCAAAUGUAACCAAAAUUCAAACAAAUUUAUUACCUUUCGAUGCACUUCAAGCUGUGUCAAACUCAGAGAAACAAUCACCAACACUCCAAGAAUGCAAAAACUUGCACUUAUCCCCAUAACUACAAUUUCCUUGAAGCCAAUAAUUACAAAGCUUCUCAAUCUUCCUAAAUACUCUAUUGCUCGCGCCACUACCUUGAGCUCUAUUGCCUGCACCACCGUCAUGAACUCGCCCCCAUGUAGGAU